GAUGAGAUGAUGAUCGGAGGGGAAUUAGGUUGGGUGAGACAUCUGGCCUCUUGUGAUCACCUCGUUGCUUCCUUGUCGUCUGAUCUCGCUCGCAUUCCAACUCCCGAUACACCCUGCAACAUGUUAGCCAAACCCUUUAAACACGUCAAUUUAUAUAAUUUAUUUUUGCUUGAUUUCAUUUCAUGGAAAUUCGAAAAAUUCAUCAUAUAAUUAUAAUAUAGAAAAAGAGGGAGGGAAAAUAUAAACUGGGUAUAUUUAUUGUCAAAUCUUGAGUCCAACUAAUGUGUCAUAACUAUUGGUUGCCGCAUGUAAGUUAUUUAUUUUACAACACAAGCAAUGAGUAACGCAGUGAUGAUGCUCACGUAACCUGUGGAGUGAUUUGCAUGUAUGAAGGUGCAAACACCCGAGGGGAAACUGGCUAUGUUUGUGUUGCAAGGAAGUGCUUUGCAGCCGUUAUGUGAACAAGCACAUGCUUCGGCAUUACCGGGAAAAAAACCAUUCUGUAGCAUUAGACUAUAGGUAUGACCAUGAACUUUGAUCGUUGUUGUAUUUUCCCAUGUUUAUCUCUCGUUGAUUAUGUUUGAAUUGGAAGGGUGUUCUUAACUUUUAUAUAUUGUGAUUUAUAAAUACCUUGUUUUUGGCUAAGCAGUGACCUGUCAGUUUGGUGUUUCGCCUGCCAUGCAUAUUUAAAUGCUCAACCGAUUCUGCAACUGCGACCUGUUCAUGAGACAUCUUACGUUCUGAAAUUUGGUCGAGCCCUCCCUUUUAAUACGGGACAGCAUCCUAAGGUUAAAGAGGAUGAUGAGAUGAUGCUCGGAGCAGAAUCGGGUUCGGUGAGACAUCUGACCUCUUGUGAUCACCUCGUUGCUUCCUUGUCGACUGAUCUUGCUCGCAUACCAAAUCCCGAUACACCCUGCAACAGGUUAGCCAAACCCUUUAAACACGGCAAUUUAAAUAAUUCAUCUUUGCUUGAUUUCAUUUCAUUGAAAUUGGAGAAAUUCAUCAUGCAAUUAUAAUAUAGAAAAAAGUGGGGGAAAAUGGAAACUUGAUAUAUUUAUUGUCAAAUCUUGAGUCCAACUAAUGUGUGAUCAGUAUUGGUUGCCGCAUGUAAGUUAUUCAUUUUACAACACUAGCAAUGAGUAACACAAUGAAGAUGCUCGCGUAACCUGCGGAGUGAUUUGCAUGUAUGAAGGUGCCAACACCCGAGGGGAAACUGGCUAUGUUUGUGUUGCAAGGAAGUGCUUUGCAGCCGUUAUGUGAACAAGCACAUGCUUCAGCAUUACCAGGAAACAAACCAUUCUGUAGCAUUAGGCUAUAGGUAUGACCAUGAACUUUGAUCGUUGUUGUAUUUUCCCAUGUGUAUGUCUCAUUGAUUCUGUUUGAAUUGGAAGGGUAUUCUUAACUAUUAUAUAUUGUGAUUUAUAAACACCUUGUUUUUGGCUAAGCAGUGACCUGUCAGUUUGGUGUUUCGCCUGCCAUGCAUAUUUAAAUGCUCAAGCGAUUCUGCAACUGCGACCUGUUCAUGAGACGUCUUACGUUCUGAAAUUUGGUGAAACCCUCCCUUUUAAUACGGGACAGCAUCCUGAGGUUAAAGAGGACGACGAGAUGAUGCUCGGAGCAGAAUCGGGUUGGGUGAGACAUCUGACCUCUUGUGAUCACCUCGUUGCUUCCUUGUCGACUGAUCUCGCUCGCAUACCAAAUCCCGAUACACCCUGCAACAGGUAAGCCCUUUAAACACGUCAAUUUUAAUAUUUUAUUUUUGCUUGAUUUCAUUUUCAUGCAAAUUCGAGAAAUUCAUCGUAUAAUUAUAAUAUAUAAUUAUAAUAUAGAAAAAGAGGGAGGGAAAAUAUAAACUGGGUAUAUUUAUUGUCAAAUCUUGAGUCCAACUAAUGUGUCAUAACUAUUGGUUGCCGCAUGUAAGUUAUUUAUUUUACAACACAAGCAAUGAGUAACGCAGUGAUGAUGCUCACGUAACCUGUGGAGUGAUUUGCAUGUAUGAAGGUGCCAACACCCGAGGGGAAACUGGCUAUGUUUGUGUUGCAAGGAAGUGCUUUGCAGCCGUUAUGUGAACAAGCACAUGCUUCGGCAUUACCGGGAAAAAAACCAUUCUGUAGCAUUAGGCUAUAGGUAUGACCAUGAACUUUGAUCAUUGUUGUAUUUUCCCAUGUUUAUCUCUCGUUGAUUAUGUUUGAAUUGGAAGGGUGUUCUUAACUUUUAUAUAUUGUGAUUUAUAAAUACCUUAUUUUUGGCUAAGCAGUGACCUGUCAGUUUGGUGUUUCGCCUGCGAUGCAUAUUUAAAUGCUCAACCGAUUCUGCAACUGCGACCUGUUCAUGAGACAUCUUACGUUCUGAAAUUUGGUCGGGCCCUCCCUUUUAAUACGGGACAGCAUCCUAAGGUUAAAGAGGACGAUGAGAUGAUGUUCGGAGCGGAAUCGGGUUGGGUGAGACAUCUGACCUCUUGUGAUCACCUCAUUGCUUCCUUGUCGUCUGAUCUUGCUCGCAUACCAAAUCCCGAUACACCCUGCAACAGGUUAGCCAAACCCUUUAAACACGGCAAUUUAAAUAAUUCAUCUUUGCUUGAUUUCAUUUCAUUGAAAUUGGAGAAAUUCAUCAUGCAAUUAUAAUAUAGAAAAAAGGGGGGGAAAAUGGAAACUUGAUAUAUUUAUUGUCAAAUCUUGAGUCCAACUAAUGUGUGAUCAGUAUUGGUUGCCGCAUGUAAGUUAUUCAUUUUACAACACUAGCAAUGAGUAACACAAUGAAGAUGCUCGCGUAACCUGCGGAGUGAUUUGCAUGUAUGAAGGUGCCAACACCCGAGGGGAAACUGGCUAUGUUUGUGUUGCAAGGAAGUGCUUUGCAGCCGUUAUGUGAACA
rnacentral:lncRNA from 1 species